rnacentral:rRNA from 1 species
UACAGAGGGUGCAAGCGUUAAUCGGAAUUACUGGGCGUAAAGCGUGCGUAGUCGGUUAUCUAAGUCGGGUGUGAAAUCCCCGGGCUCAACCUGGGAAUUGCAUUCGAUACUGGAUAGCUAGAGUUCGGCAGAGGGAAGCGGAAUUUACGGUGUAGCGGUGAAAUGCGUAGAUAUCGUAAGGAAGACCAGUGGCGAAGGCGGGUCUCUGGACAGUUCCUGACGCUGAGGCACGAAGGUCAGGGGAGCAAACGGG